AUUGAACGCUGGCGGCAGGCCUAACACAUGCAAGUCGAGCGGAGCGGCGGACGGGUGAGUAAUGCCUAGGACUCGGACUGGUCGUGGGGGAUAAGGUCCGGAAACGGGCGCUAAUACUGAUUACUAUCAGAGGCGCCUAGGCCGGAUUAGCUAGUUGGUGGGGUAGAGGCCCACCAAGGCGACGAUCCGUAACUGGUCUGAGAGGAUGAUCAGCCACACUGGAACUGAGACACGGUCCAGACUCCUACGGGAGGCAGCAGUGGGGAAUAUUGGACAAUGGGCGAAAGCCUGAUCCAGCCAUGCCGCGUGUGUGAAGAAGGUCUUCGGAUUGUAAAGCACUUUAAGUUGGGAGGCGUUACCAACAGAAUAAGCACCGGCUAACUCCGUGCCAGCCGCCGCGGUAAUAC
rnacentral:rRNA from 1 species